AGGCUCUGAGUUGCAGAGCUCAGAAGACCGGGAAGGCAGGCCGGGUGUCAAUAUACUCCAACUUUAUGCUUAAAUGGUGGCACCUGGAAGGACUGAGAACUCUGGCUUUGGACUGGAGUGGAAAGGAUUGAAGACUUGGGAGCCAGAUACUGAGGUGAAAGCCUGCUAGCUUAGAAAGGCAGAGAAAGCAUCCAGCUGACCUUCCUCCUCAGCCAGCAUCCUAGAAGUAAUGCCCCUCUCUCAAAGUCUCAAGCCUUUAAACUGAAUGUCCCUCACCUUCUACUUCCUGUGCACCUCUGUGAUAAUCCUACGUUCACUUCCUCUGGAUUGACUCUUUUUAAUAUCCCAUCCUCACAUAUCUGAUGACUCCACCGGCUUUGACACAUUGAAAUCUCCUGGGACUCUCAUCAUGCCAGGAACCCACAGGCUCUGUCAGUUUGGAAACUUGUGACUUUUUCUGAGACAAGCCUGGACUUGUCACAUAGUCUGGACUGACCUUAAACUGGCUGUAUAUCUGAGGACAUCCAUGAGCUGCUGACCUGGCUUCAGUUUAAGUGCUUUGUUACCGAGGUGACAUUAGUGGACAUUAUACACAGAUCUCUAGAUUACAGACAUGCUCCAUGCUUGGUUUCUCAUGACCUUAUUGAACAUGUUCUUUGGUGAUUUCCUCCCUACUAUUAAUCAAAGACUCAACUGCCUGUUUCUUGCAGAGAGGAGGCUAAUCACCGGGCUGGCUUCUCCAGGGGCAAUGGCAUGUGUAUGCAGGAACUUGUUCUUAAGUGGAUUUCUGUGUGGUCUCCUCUCUGUAUCUCCAGUCCUUUACUUCUGAGGCCCCAGACCUUACACUGGCUAGUCUUAUUAAUAACACUCUAUACCAGCAGAUUUCAUGUGAAUGAAUGUUUUGCUC
ensembl:processed_transcript Gm16618 predicted gene, 16618